rnacentral:rRNA from 1 species
GACGGGGGCUGCAAGCGAUAUCCGGAAUCACUGGGCGUAAAGCGUCUGUAGGUGGUGAUGCAAGUCACUGGUGCAAAACUCUGGCUCAACCGGAGGAAAGCCAGUGAAACUGCAUGACUAGAGUGUGGGAGAGGUAGAAGGAAUUCCCUGAGUAGCGGUGACAUGCGUAGAUACAGGGAAGAACACCGGAGGCGAAAGCGUUCUACUGGAACACAACUGACACUGAGAGACGAAAGCUAGGGGGGCGAAUGGG